rnacentral:rRNA from 1 species
AUUGAACGCUGGCGGCAUGCCUUACACAUGCAAGUCGAACGGCAGCACGGGAGCUUGCUCCUGGUGGCGAGUGGCGAACGGGUGAGUAAUACAUCGGAACGUACCCUGAAGUGGGGGAUAACGUAGCGAAAGUUACGCUAAUACCGCAUAUUCUGUGAGCAGGAAAGAGGGGGAUCGCAAGACCUCUUGCUUUAGGAGCGGCCGAUGUCGGAUUAGCUAGUUGGUGAGGUAAAGGCUCACCAAGGCGACGAUCCGUAGCGGGUCUGAGAGGAUGAUCCGCCACACUGGGACUGAGACACGGCCCAGACUCCUACGGGAGGCAGCAGUGGGGAAUUUUGGACAAUGGGCGCAAGCCUGAUCCAGCCAUGCCGCGUGAGUGAAGAAGGCCUUCGGUUGGUAAGACUCUUUCGGUUGGGGUAAGGAAAGUUAGU